AAGAGCCAGCCCUGGGGACAGCCCAGCACCAUUGUCAGUGGGGGAGAACCCAGGAGCAGCAGCAGCCAAGGACCCAGGAGCAGCAGCAGCUGCAGCAGCUGAGGAUCCACUGGGAGCCUGACACAGCAGUAUGUGCUCCCAGUACUCCUGCAGUGCAUGGUGUAACCCAGCAACCGAAUACUACAAGGGUGACGGGACCACUAAAUACUGAUUAAGGGGAUCAUUCCGACCCAUUCGCACGCUGCAGUUCAAUGCGCAUCGCUAGCGCGAUCGAAAGAAGAUUGACAGCAAGGAGGCGUUCCGGGGUGGAUACUUUCCGUUUUCCGGGCUUGGAGAUCCGAACGCAGGCAUGUCCAGGCGUUUGGAGGGCAGUUGCCUGACGUCAAUUCCGGGACCUUCGUCGCUGGAUCCAUCGCACAGGACUUCAUAUCUGUGGACUACAGAGCCUGUCUCUCCAUGUCAGGAUGUCAGCGAAAUGCAGAAAAUGACCAGGGUGGACUCAUGGGAACAGCUGAUCUUAGAUAUGUAUGGUAAGGUUGAUCUCCUCAAGGACUAGUCUUGAAGGGAGCUGAAAGAGCCCAGAUCAGUCUUCUGACUGAUCACAUUGGUAACGUAAACACAGAUGCAGCACAAAAACAGACCAACCCUUAAAAAGGAAGUAUGCCAAAAACAUUACAAUUAGCACACAGCGAGGCACAGU